UACGAAGGGGGCUAGCGUUGUUCGGAAUUACUGGGCGUAAAGGGCGCGUAGGCGGCCUUGCUAGUUGGGCGUGAAAGGCCUGGGCUUAACCCGGGAACUGCGUUCAAUACUGCGAGGCUAGAGUGUGGGAGAGGUUGGUGGAAUUCCCAGUGUAGAGGUGAAAUUCGUAGAUAUUGGGAAGAACACCGGUGGCGAAGGCGGCCAACUGGACCACAACUGACGCUGAGGCGCGAAAGCGUGGGGAGCAAACAGG
rnacentral:rRNA from 1 species